ACGCUCGACACCUACGGGAGGCAGCAGUGGGGAAUAUUGCACAAUGGGGGAAACCCUGAUGCAGCGACGCCGCGUGAAGGAUGAAGUAUUUCGGUAUGUAAACUUCUAUCAGCAGGGAAGAAAUGACGGUACCUGACUAAGAAGCCCCGGCUAACUACGUGCCAGCAGCUGCGGUAAUCUGAGGCGGGCUGGCAAGGC
rnacentral:rRNA from 1 species